rnacentral:rRNA from 1 species
CAGCCGCCGCGGGAAUACGAAGGGGACUAGCGUUGUUCGGAAUCACUGGGCGUAAAGCGCACGUAGGCGGAUUUGUAAGUCAGGGGUGAAAUCCCGGGGCUCAACCUCGGAACUGCCUUUGAUACUGCGAGUCUUGAGUCCGAUAGAGGUGGGUGGAAUUCCUAGUGUAGAGGUGAAAUUCGUAGAUAUUAGGAAGAACACCGGUGGCGAAGGCGGCCCACUGGAUCGGUACUGACGCUGAGGUGCGAAAGCGUGGGGAGCAAACAGGAUUAGAUACCCCCGUAGUCCCUGUCUCUUAUAC